rnacentral:rRNA from 1 species
UACGUAGGGUGCAAGCGUUUAAUCGGAAUUACUGGGCGUAAAGCGUGCGCAGGCGGUUCGCUAAGACCGAUGUGAAAUCCCCGGGCUUAACCUGGGAACUGCAUUGGUGACUGGCGGGCUAGAGUAUGGCAGAGGGGGGUAGAAUUCCACGUGUAGCAGUGAAAUGCGUAGAGAUGUGGAGGAAUACCGAUGGCGAAGGCAGCCCCCUGGGCCAAUACUGACGCUCAUGCACGAAAGCGUGGGGAGCAAACAGG